CCGGCAAUGAUGAUUGGCGCAGGGGUACGGACCUCAGCUGGAGAAUGGGAGCUGAGUGUGGCCGUUUCUCACUUAGCUUACAUGUGGUGAACUAUUUGAGAAGCAGCUGCACGAGAAAAAUGCCUCAGUCUGAGCCGG